rnacentral:rRNA from 1 species
AGCAGUAGCCGCGGGAAAACGGAGGGUGCAAGCGUUAUCCGGAAUGAUUGGGCGUAAAGGGCUCGCAGGCGGUUUCUUAAGUCUGAUGUGAGAGCCCCCGGCUCAACCGGGGAGGGUCAUUGGAAACUGGGAAACUUGAGUGCAGGAGAGGGAAGUGGAAUUCCCAGUGUAGCGGUGAAAUGCGUAGAUAUUGGGAGGAACACCAGUAGCGAAGGCGGCUUUCUGGACUGCAACUGACACUGAGGCACGAAAGCGUGGGUAGCAAACAGGAUUAGAUACCCCAGUAGUCCCUGUCUCUUAUAC